rnacentral:rRNA from 1 species
AUUGAACGCUGGCGGCAGGCUUAACACAUGCAAGUCGAGCGGGGGAAGGUAGCUUGCUACCGGACCUAGCGGCGGACGGGUGAGUAAUGCUUAGGAAUCUGCCUAUUAGUGGGGGACAACAUCUCGAAAGGGAUGCUAAUACCGCAUACGUCCUACGGGAGAAAGCAGGGGAUCUUCGGACCUUGCGCUAAUAGAUGAGCCUAAGUCGGAUUAGCUAGUUGGUGGGGUAAAGGCCUACCAAGGCGACGAUCUGUAGCGGGUCUGAGAGGAUGAUCCGCCACACUGGGACUGAGACACGGCCCAGACUCCUACGGGAGGCAGCAGUGGGGAAUAUUGGACAAUGGGGGGAACCCUGAUCCAGCCAUGCCGCGUGUGUGAAGAAGGCCUUAUGGUUGUAAAGCACUUUAAGCGAGGAGGAGGCUACUUUAGUUAAUACCUAAAGUGAGUGGACGUUACUCGCAGAAUAAGCACCGGCUAACUCUGUGCCAGCCGCCGCCGUAA